rnacentral:rRNA from 1 species
UACGAAGGGGGCUAGCGUUGCUCGGAAUUACUGGGCGUAGAGCGCACGUAGGCGGUCUUUUAAGUCGGGGGUGAAAUCCUGGAGCUCAACUCCAGAACUGCCUUCGAUACUGGAAGACUUGAGUCCGGGAGAGGUGAGUGGAACUGCGAGUGUAGAGGUGAAAUUCGUAGAUAUUCGCAAGAACACCAGUGGCGAAGGCGGCUCACUGGCCCGGUACUGACGCUGAGGUGCGAAAGCGUGGGGAGCAAACAGG